CAGAGGGGAGCUUGGCACAGCCAGAAAUGAAGUGCCUAGAAAAUGAUUCUAAUCUACAACAAUAAUUCCUCUUGGUGGAAAACCUUGGGAUUUAUUAACUUGAAGCACGGAUCCCUCAGAGAAAACAGACUGGAACAGCAUGUCAAACAGCGCAUGGGAAUGAAGAAAGCAGGAGGGGGAAAUGAAAAGGGACAUCCCAUCAAAGCCAGCUGGGUUCAUUCUGGAAAGGUCUCCUUUGGAUGUCUGUAAGGUGUGGGAGUCACACCUGGAGUCACUGGAUUUAGGGAGUGACAGGGAGCUCUGCAGGGACACCAGCUGACCUUCCCGAACACCAUUGCCAGCGUUGGGAGGAUGCUUCAAAGUAUCCUUUUCCUUCUGAAAAUGAGUUCUGAUUUCUCUCCUUGGGGACAUCAGAACUUCCCUCUGUGCCUGUGUCCUACCCUCAACAUCUUCCCAAGGCAGCCCCGGGAUUUUGGCUCAUGGACCCUCCUUGACGUGGCAAUUGAAACACCAACAGAGUUCCAUAAAAAUGAUACCAAACUCCAACUAAGUUGAGAUUUUUUUGUUGCUGUUUUGCUGCUUGGACUAACAGAAGCAAGGAAGCACAGUGCUGCUCAUGGGAGCAAUCGUUUAUCAGCCUUUCUGGCAAGUCUCUGCUUGACACAGUUGGGUCUCAGCCCUUUGAGUACACUGAGAAUUCAGCUUCAGUCACAGCAGAGAAACCGUAUGGAUUCCACUGGCUCAGGCAUGCUUCAGUCUGUCAGC